UACGGGGGGGGCAAGCGUUGUUCGGAAUUACUGGGCGUAAAGGGCUCGUAGGCGGCCAACUAAGUCGAACGUGAAAUCCCUCAGCUUAACUGGGGAACUGCGUCCGAUACUGAUUGGCUUGAAUCCGGAAGAGGGAUGCGGAAUUCCAGGUGUAGCGGUGAAAUGCGUAGAUAUUGGAAAGAACACCGAUGGCGAAGGCACUCUACUGGGCUAUUACUGACACUCAGAGACGAAAGCUAGGGGAGCAAAUGGG
rnacentral:rRNA from 1 species